AAGAAAAGAAAAAAGAAAAAACAAUAAAAGAUCUUGUCUUUCCAUUUUACUAAAAAAAUACCCACAUGCCUCUCUUCCUUGUUACUUUGCAGAUGAACUAAAGUUUGUUCAUUUUUUCAAUGACUUUAGUGGGUUAUCUUCAGAAUAUUGUUGGAGGGUGAAUGGGGUGCAUGUUCUCUCAUUUAGCUGCAAAAUUUGCUUUCUUUCCUCCAUCUCCACCUACCUAUCAGAUCAAUAAGAGAGAUGAUGGCAAGGUCACUGUGGUCUCAUCGUCUUCUUCAAUGCCACUUCCUCUUGCUGAUGAUACUUCAUUUGAUGUGCUAUUGAUUGAUACAAAGAAAGGCAACAAGAUUGUUGCUUUUUAUCUGAAAAACCCAUAUGCAAGACUCACUCUUCUCUACUCCCAUGGCAAUGCUGCUGACCUUGGCCAGCUUUAUGACCUCUUUGUCCAGCUCAAGAUCAAUCUCAGAGUUAAUAUCAUGGGAUAUGAUUAUUCUGGGUAUGGAGCUUCCAAUGGUAAGCCAAGUGAAUCUAAUACCUAUGCGGAUAUAGAGGCAGUUUACCAGUGUCUUCAGACAGAAUAUGGAGUUUGUCAGGAAGACAUAAUUUUGUAUGGGCAGUCAGUUGGUAGUGGUCCAACAUUGCACUUGGCAGCUAAGUUGCCAAGGCUGAGAGGUGUUGUUUUGCAUAGUGCUAUUCUUUCUGGUCUUCGCGUGCUGUGCCAUGUAAAGUUCACAUUCUGCUUUGACAUAUACAAGAAUAUAAACAAAAUUCGAAAGGUGAAGUGCCCUGUGCUAGUGAUACAUGGCACGGAGGAUGAUGUUGUAAACUGGUUACAUGGCAAUGGACUCUGGACAUUGGCGAGGGAACCAUAUGAGCCUCUAUGGAUUAAAGGAGGCGGGCAUUGUAACUUGGAAUUGUACCCUGAUUAUAUCCACCAUCUUUGCAAGUUUGUUCAAGAAAUGGAGAGUAUAACCACAGAAAUUCGCCUGAAAAAGAUUAGGCAGAAACUUCGGCUAAAACCAAGGUCUAAGAUUACUGCAUCUAACAAGUGCUGUAGAUUUAAACUAUGGCGGCCAAGAUGCCCUGCAUGUUUCAGAUCGAGGUGCAUAAAAUGUUUGUGUACGUCUAAAUGCAUUGAGUGUUGGAGAUCCAGGUGCCUUAAAUGUUGCUGGCGACCCAAAUGCCCCAAAUGUUGGAUACCCAGUUGUUGCUGCAGUAUUAAAUGUCUAGAUUGGCAGUGCUGCACGGGAACGCAUAGUGGGAUGAAUGGGAAACAGGAUGGCUGAUGAUGACAACAACAACAGGCUUUGUACAGAUUUUUCUGAAACUUACUAACGCCCCCUCUAAUCUUUGUGCAUUUAUUAGUGUACAAAACAAGAGGAAGUAGUAGCUGUCUAAUUACUUGUGGAAACAACAUAAUGCAUGUUUUCAUCAACUUAGUACAUUAUUGAAUUAACAUAAUGCAUGUGGCUUAAGAC
rnacentral:misc_RNA from 1 species